rnacentral:rRNA from 1 species
UUUGGACUUCGCUGUCCCGCCUGCCUAAUACAUGCAAGUCGAGCGGAUCUUUCAAAAGCUUGCUUUUGGAAGAUCAGCGGCGGACGGGUGAGUAACACGUGGGCAACCUGCCUGUGAGACUGGGAUAACUUCGGGAAACCGGAGCUAAUACCGGAUAAUAUAAGGAACCUCCUGGUUCUUUAUUGAAAGAUGGUUUCGGCUAUCACUCACAGAUGGGCCCGCGGCGCAUUAGCUAGUUGGUGAGGUAACGGCUCACCAAGGCGACGAUGCGUAGCCGACCUGAGAGGGUGAUCGGCCACACUGGGACUGAGACACGGCCCAGACUCCUACGGGAGGCAGCAGUAGGGAAUCUUCCACAAUGGACGAAAGUCUGAUGGAGCAACGCCGCGUGAGCGAUGAAGGCCUUCGGGUCGUAAAGCUCUGUUGUUAGGGAAGAACAAGUGCGAGAGUAACUGCUCGCACCUUGACGGUACCUAACCAGAAAGCCACGGCUAACUACGUGCCAGCAGCCCGCGGUAAU